UACGGGGGGGGCAAGCGUUGUUCGGAAUUACUGGGCGUAAAGGCUCGUAGGCGGCCAACUCAGUCGGACGUGAAAUCCCUCGGCUUAACCGGGGAACUGCUUCCGAUACUGGAUGGCUUGAGUGUGGGAGAGGGAUGCGGAAUUCCAGGUGUAGCGGUGAAAUGCGUAGAUAUCUGGAGGAACACCGGUGGCGAAGGCGGCAUCCUGGACUACUACUGACGCUGAGGAGCGAAAGCCAGGGGAGCAAAGCGGG
rnacentral:rRNA from 1 species